rnacentral:lncRNA from 1 species
CAAAAAAACCCUCCACUACACUCACAUUCGAGGCCUCUCUCUUAUCUACAACUCAAACUCAAACCUCAUCUGAAAAAAAAAAAGAAAAAAAAAAGAAAAAAAAAAAAAACCCCCAAGCGAAGCCUCUCUUUUCCUUCGUCGAAAACCCAGUUGUGCCUCUUGUAUCUUCCUCUUUUUCGCAGCUGCAAAACCAUGUCUGAGAUACUUAGUGGGGCUUGGAGAAAAUAGCUCAUACCACUUCAAUCCCACCCUCUUAGAACUAAGGUUUGUUUCAAUUCUUGAAUCAUACCCAGUUUUUGUUUUGUUUUGUUGUCUUACUCUGCUUUGUAAGAUGUCAAUUAAUCAAUUGGGUUUUGAAAUUUCUAAUUUGAUUUGUAUUAAUCAAUUAUUUGUAUUUAUGAAAAUAGGGAUUGGGUCUGUCAAUGUGUGGGAAGAGCUGAGAGAAUUGGGUUAUGGAAGAAUAAAUGAUUUGUCUUUUCAUUGCACUAGUUUCCAAAAGCUUUUAAUUUUUUAUUAAUACCUCACUUGCAUGGUCCCUAUGUUGUAGAUUUUGUGUUCGAUCAGAUCAUCAGAGAGAUGAUUUCUGGAACGAGGCCAUUAAACUUGCUGAUUUGCACCACCUCAAUGUGGUAGCUUCUAUGGUGUUGUACUUGAUGGGCCGGGAGGUUAUGUGUCAACAGUGACAGAGUAUAUGGUUAAUGGCUCUCUUUGAAAUGCCUUGUAGAAGAAUAAGAAGUAAUGUGUUUGUUUGGCUUUUUGUUCUUUGCAUUAAUUUGAUAAAAUCAGAAUGAAUGUCGUAGUUGAUUAGUUGGUAUGUAAUUUCCAAUUGUAUUAAUCAAUUGGGUAUUGAAAUUUGUUUGUGUUUGUAUGAAAAUAUGGGAUUGUAUGUUGAAGUUUGUUGCUAGAAGUUUGGAUGAACUUUGAUGAAAAUGUUUAUGUUUGUUAGGAGCAAGUUCAGUUUUAGGUUUAUUUGAUGGAAUAAAGAUGUUAACAAGUUUUGUGUUAUUGUAAGCAUAUUUUCUUUUAUGCCUAAACCGGUCGAAUCAAACUGCA